rnacentral:rRNA from 1 species
UGGGGAAUUUUGGACAAUGGGGGCAACCCUGAUCCAGCCAUGCCGCGUGAGUGAAGAAGGCCUUCGGGUUGUAAAGCUCUUUCGGCGGGGACGAAACGGUCCGUGACAACACCACGGACUAAUGACAGUACUCGCAGAAGAAGCACCGGCUAACUACGUGCCAGCAGCCGCGGUAAUACGUAGGGUGCAGGCGUUAAUCGGAAUUACUGGGCGUAAAGCGUGCGCAGGCGGCUCCUUAAGUCAGAUGUGAAAUCCCCGGGCUUAACCUGGGAACUGCGUUUGAAACUGAGGGGCUAGAGUACAGUUAGGGUAAACGGAAUUCCACGUGUAGCGGUGAAAUGCGUAGAUAUGUGGAAGAACACCGGUGGUGAAGACGGUUUACUGGGCUGUAACUGACGCUGAGGCGCGAAAGCAUGGGGAGCAAACAGGAUUAGAUACCCCUGUAGUCCCUGAGCGGGCUGGCAAGGCGCAU